GCAAGUGCAACGGUGAAGCCCAUCUUGCUGGGUGGAUCAGUGGCGAACGGGUGAGUAACACGUGAGCAACCUGCCCCGGACUCUGGGAUAAGCGCUGGAAACGGCGUCUAAUACUGGAUACGAGACGCAACCGCAUGGUUAGUGUCUGGAAAGAUUUUUCGGUCUGGGAUGGGCUCGCGGCCUAUCAGCUUGUUGGUGAGGUAAUGGCUCACCAAGGCGUCGACGGGUAGCCGGCCUGAGAGGGUGACCGGCCACACUGGGACUGAGACACGGCCCAGACUCCUACGGGAGGCAGCAGUGGGGAAUAUUGCACAAUGGGCGGAAGCCUGAUGCAGCAACGCCGCGUGAGGGAUGACGGCCUUCGGGUUGUAAACCUCUUUUAGCAAGGAAGAAGCGAAAGUGACGGUACUUGCAGAAAAAGCGCCGGCUAACUACGUGCCAGCAGCCGCGGUAAUACGUAGGGCGCAAGCGUUAUCCGGAAUUAUUGGGCGUAAAGAGCUCGUAGGCGGUCUGUCGCGUCUGCUGUGAAAACCCGAGGCUCAACCUCGGGCCUGCAGUGGGUACGGGCAGACUAGAGUGCGGUAGGGGAGAUUGGAAUUCCUGGUGUAGCGGUGGAAUGCGCAGAUAUCAGGAGGAACACCGAUGGCGAAGGCAGAUCUCUGGGCCGUAACUGACGCUGAGGAGCGAAAGGGUGGGGAGCAAACAGGCUUAGAUACCCUGGUAGUCCACCCCGUAAACGUUGGGAACUAGUUGUGGGGUCCUUUCCACGGAUUCCGUGACGCAGCUAACGCAUUAAGUUCCCCGCCUGGGGAGUACGGCCGCAAGGCUAAAACUCAAAGGAAUUGACGGGGACCCGCACAAGCGGCGGAGCAUGCGGAUUAAUUCGAUGCAACGCGAAGAACCUUACCAAGGCUUGACAUACACGAGAACGCUGCAGAAAUGUAGAACUCUUUGGACACUCGUGAACAGGUGGUGCAUGGUUGUCGUCAGCUCGUGUCGUGAGAUGUUGGGUUAAGUCCCGCAACGAGCGCAACCCUCGUUCUAUGUU
rnacentral:rRNA from 1 species